rnacentral:lncRNA from 1 species
GUCUGAUUGUACUCCUGAUCACAGCUGUGGUGAUCAUCAUCAGGUGGAAAAGGACCAAAGGUUCCUGGUGGAGAUUAAGGAGAG